rnacentral:piRNA from 1 species
AAUGUCACCGAGGGUCCAUUCUGAAG